UGAAUUGUUAGAUGGCGUUUUCUAGCAUGGGAGAGGUUGUUAGGUCUCUCACGCUGGGAAAAUUUUGUCAGCCAUUCGAUCUGGCUUUCUCUUAAAUCGUGUGGUGACUUUUCUAAAAGGCAUACCAUUUAUGAGGAGAACAUAGGGAGAAUUAUUUUAAAACAAUGUAGUCAUCGUCGAUGUGACAUGUGUACUUUCCUAUCUGAAAAACGUUUAAUUUUGCAGGCCCUUUUGGCACCGUAACAAGAAAGAAAUAAGAAAUGAGUCAGUUUUUUGGGCAGAGGUCAACCUUGUUUCCUGUUGGAGAGCAAGAGGUAGUAUGUAGCUUUGCGGUUCGUUAGUUGAAAGGGGGUUUGUUCUCUAUUUGUUCCAACCAUUCUUCCCCCUUUUUUUUCAACCCUUUGAUUUCCGGUUGUGGACUUGUUGAGUGCUUGCCAAUUGUUGUCGCCAGCCUAGUUAGGAAGAAGAUACCCAACGCAAAUAAUUUUUGGUCAUGAAGUCUGGGUUUGGAGAAUGAAUCGGUUACUGGUAGUUCUGAUUAAGAAAAUUAUGGUGACAAUGAAUUUGAGAAUUUUGAAGAGGAUGGAUAUGAGGGCUUCGAGUAUGGAUCUGAUGAUUUGGUAGAGAAUGGAUCCGAGGGUUUCAAAUAUGAUGGGUUUGAGGAUUUUGGAGGUCUAAAUGGGUAUUUGUUUGAAGAUGUUGUGGAUUCAAGCAGUGUAGAAGAUCCUGUAAUGAUAAAUGACAAGAAUGACAUCUUGGAGGUUGAUUUGGCCAAUAUUGACUGUGUUGUUGUUGAGAGGCUGAAUUUUGUGGAUCUUGAAAGUUGAAACUGCACAUAUGUUCUACCCCAAUUAUUCAAGAGUAAUUGGUUUUUCUAUCUGUAGAAGCCAUGUUAUUAGAAACAAGUUAGGGAAAACUAUCCAGCAAACUUUUUAAUGCUCCAGGGUGGUUAUAAAAAAGAUAGAGGCGAGUAAGUGACGGGACCAAAACCAAAAGCCAAAAAUGGCACGAGAUGUGAUUGCAAAGCUUUGAUGCGGGAACACUUGAGGACCCCAUCUCAUCGAUGGGAGGUGAGUGCAUUCAACUUUGCCUAUAGCCAUAUGUUGUUGGAGCCACAUUUGUCUGGUUUGAUACCAGGUCAUAAAAAAUUAGUGAAGUUGAUAUGUUGUAAAUUCAGAACUAUCAGAAGGCUGGCAUUUGACCUCUACAAAUGUUUGGGGAACUUGCAAAUUUAGUAGCAGGUGGUUAUGAGAAGGUAGGAUUUGUUAUGAAAUAUAUAUAUAUAAUCAAUUCGGCCGAGAGAGGUGAGCACAAUCAUCUGAUGUAGCCAGGGCACUAAAAUAUUUGGGUGAGUUGUCUAUGAAUGACGAUUGUUUGUUGUUGCAUAUGUUGUGGAUGAUAGUAACAAGCUUCAACAUCUUUUUUGGUGUGAUGGUGAAAGUCGGGUAAACUUUGUUAUUCGGUGAUGUAUUGGCAUUUGAUGCCACUUAUAAGAAGAAUAAGUAUCAUCUACCUGUUGUGGGUUUUUCUGGUGUUAAUCACAACAAUCAAACCAUAGUUUAUGACACAAUCCUUGUAACAAAUGCAACCGAAGAGACGUAUGUUUGGUUAUUAGAACAAUUUGUGCAAGCCAUGAAUAGUAAGAAACUAUCAACAACGAUUACUGAUGGUGAUAUUGCAAUGAGAAAUGCAUAAGAAAGAUACUUUUCAAAACAUGCCUAGGUUAUGUGCUUGGCACUUGAUACGUAAUGCAAAAGCCAAUGUAAACAAUCCUGCAUUUUUGCCAAUGUUUCAAAGAUGUAUGAUAGGUGACUUACAAGUGAAAGAUUUUGAACAUACAUGGUUGAAGAUGGUUGAGACUCUUGGUUUGUAGGAAAAUAAAUGGGUUACUGAAAUGUAUGAAAAGAGGAAGAUGUGGUCAACUGCUCAUAUUCGUGGCAAUUUCUUUGUUGUUAUCAGGACGACAAGUCGCUGUGAAGCUUUUCAUAGUCACAUGGGAAAUUAUGUUAAUCCAAGAAUUAAUUUGACAGACUUUGUAGAGCAAUCUCAAAGAUGUCAGUCAUAUUUUCAUUUUAAGGAACUUUAAGCAGAUUAUUACUCUUUAUACUGAUUGUUUGGAGACAUCCGUAGCAACACAUUUCUCAAAGGAGAUUUUUCUUAUGGUUCAAUCGUAUUUCAAAAAAGCCACGCUUUUAAGGGUGACAAAGUGCCUAGAGAUGGCAAUGUACUCAGUUUUCCCUGUUGUUAGGUAUCAAACUGAGAGGACAUGCCAUGUGUCGUAUUGUCCUUUGCUUGGUGAAUUUAAAUGUGAAUGCCUACGGAUGGAAUCUACUUGGUUACCUUGCCAUCAUAUCAUAAUUGUGUUAUUGGCUUUACACUUCACUGAGUUUCCUGAGUCGUUGUUAUUAGAUAGGUGGAACAAGUAUGCCAAGGAACAAAUUUGUGGAACUUAUGUAGACGAUUCUUCUUUUUGGAAUUCCCAGUUGCAUGCCAAAUAUGCCACACUUGUUCCAAUAUCUAGAUAGGCUUGCGAAUAUUCUUAUCGUGACAAUGAAGAGUUCCAUCACUUAGUGAAUCUGAUGACAAGUGAAGCAAACUGAAUGAAGUUGAAAUUUGUCGCUGAAAGUCAACCUAAUGUAGUUUAAAAUGAAACAGUUGAUGAAUUUGAUGAUGUUCAAGAUCCUCCUCUUAUCAGAACAAAGGGAUGUGGACCUAGUACAAACCUACUUCAGGAGACAACGAAGGACACAAAAUUGUUGCAAAUGGGGGUCAACAGGACACAACAAAAGAUCAUAACAUAUCAAAAUCUUUUUCACCAGUUGCAAUUUAGUUAUUUAUGAAGGUUGAAUAUACAUUUGUUUCUUCUAUUGUGUGGUGUUGCCAAUUCGGACUGCAAACGCCCUUAAUUAUGUCCAAUUCUUGUGUGAUGUUUAUAUUUAUGUUACUUGUUAGAAUUGGAUUAUUA